GACGAACGCUGGCGGCGUGCCUAAUACAUGCAAGUAGAACGCACAGUUUAUACCGUAGCUUGCUACACCAUAAGCUGUGAGUUGCGAACGGGUGAGUAACGCGUAGGUAACCUGCCUGGUAGCGGGGGAUAACUAUUGGAAACGAUAGCUAAUACCGCAUAAUAUUGAUUAUUGCAUGAUAAUUGAUUGAAAGAUGCUAUUGCAUCACUACCAGAUGGACCUGCGUUGUAUUAGCUAGUAGGUGAGGUAACGGCUCACCUAGGCGACGAUACAUAGCCGACCUGAGAGGGUGAUCGGCCACACUGGGACUGAGACACGGCCCAGACUCCUACGGGAGGCAGCAGUAGGGAAUCUUCGGCAAUGGACGAAAGUCUGACCGAGCAACGCCGCGGGAGUGAAGAAGGUUUUCGGAUCGUAAAGCUCUGUUGUAAGAGAAGAACGGGUGUGAGAGUGGAAAGUUCACACUGUGACGGUAGCUUACCAGAAAGGGACGGCUAACUACGUG
rnacentral:rRNA from 1 species